rnacentral:rRNA from 1 species
GAUGAACGCUAGCGGCAGGCUUAAUACAUGCAAGUCGAGGGGCAGCGCAGUGUAGCAAUACAUGGGCGGCGACCGGCAAACGGGUGCGGAACACGUACACAACCUUCCUACAAGUGGGGAAUAGCCCAGAGAAAUUUGGAUUAAUACCCCGUAACAUAGCGAUGUGGCAUCACAUUGCUAUUAUAGCUUCGGCGCUUGUUGAUGGGUGUGCGGCUGAUUAGAUAGUUGGCGGGGUAACGGCCCACCAAGUCUACGAUCAGUAGCUGAUGUGAGAGCAUGAUCAGCCACACGGGCACUGAGACACGGGCCCGACUCCUACGGGAGGCAGCAGUAAGGAAUAUUGGACAAUGGACGUAAGUCUGAUCCAGCCAUGCCGCGUGAAGGAUUAAGGUCCUCUGGAUUGUAAACUUCUUUUAUAAGGGACGAAAAAAGGUCUUUCUAGAUCGUCUGACGGUACCUUAUGAAUAAGCACCGGCUAACUCCGUGCCAGCAGCCGCCGUAAGAC